AUUGAACGCUGGCGGCAUGCUUUACACAUGCAAGUCGAACGGCAGCGGGGUAGUGCUUGCACUACUGCCGGCGAGUGGCGCACGGGUGAGUAAUAUAUCGGAACGUACCGAGUAAUGGGGGAUAACCAAUCGAAAGAUUGGCUAAUACCGCAUACGUCCUGAGGGAGAAAGCGGGGGAUCGCAAGACCUCGCGUUAUUCGAGCGGCCGAUAACUGAUUAGCUAGUUGGUGGGGUAAAGGCCUACCAAGGCGACGAUCAGUAGCGGGUCUGAGAGGACGAUCCGCCACACUGGGACUGGGACACGGCCCAGACUCCUACGGGAGGCAGCAGUGGGGAAUUUUGGACAAUGGGGGCAACCCUGAUCCAGCCAUGCCGCGUGUAUGAAGAAGGCCUUCGGGUUGUAAAGUACUUUUGUUAGGGAAGAAAAGGGAAGUGCUAAUACCACUUUUUGCUGACGGUACCUAAAGAAUAAGCACCGGCUAACUACGUG
rnacentral:rRNA from 1 species